AUGAUUAUCUACUGGGACCUCAUCAGCCACGAUGAGAUGCUCUCCGACAUCUACAAGAUCCAGGAGAUGGCAGAAGUCUGUGCCUGGAGUUGGAGGGGAAGACGGUCAAUAGGACAGAAGGUAACAUUGAUGACUCACUCAUCGAUGGACAUGCCUCUGCUGAAGGCCCCCAGGGUGAAGGUACCAAAAGCACGGUAAUCACUGGUGUCCAUAUUGUCGUGAACAAUCACCUACCUGCAGGAAACAAGUUUCACAAAAGAAGCCUGCAAGAAGUACAUCAAACAUUAUGUGAAAUGAAUCAAAUGCAAACUUGAAGAACAGAGACCAGAAAGAGUACAACCUUUUAUGACAGGGGCUGCAGAAUAAAUCAAGCACAUUCUUGUUCAUUUCAAAAUCUAUUAGUUCUGUGUUGGUGAAAAGAUGAAUCCAGAUGGCAUGGUUGCUCUAUUGGACUACCGUGAGGAUGUUGAACAACCUAUAUAAUUUUCUUUAAGGAUGGUUUAGAAAUGGGAAAAUGUUAACAAAUUUCACAAUUACUUUGGAUCAAUCACCUGUCAUCAUAACUGGCUUCUGCUUGUCAUCCACACACCAGGACUUAAGACAAAUGGGACUGAUGUCAUCUUGAGCUCUUCAUUUAUUUUGUCCGUGAUUUGUCUGAAGUGGAAGCAUUGUUUUUAAGAAAAACAUGCCAUGUAGGUUGUCUGAAAAUAAAAUGCAUUUAAACUCAUUUGAGAGAAUGCCUUUUAGUUUAAUACAUAUUUAAACUAGAUUCAUCCUACAGUGUUCCUGGAGAAGCUAGAGCCUGGUUGUAAGCUAUUACUAGAAAGAAUAAGAAUCAUCAAUUAACUUCUACAGUGGAAACCACUUCUGGGACUGGAAUAUAAAGAAGAAUCAAAGGUUUUGAUUCUGAGUUGCAAUAUAGGGAAAGACCA